GCGCCGGCGCAGGAGUCACAACCAACUUGAUCCGGCAAAACUCACAAGAACUUGCAUCUUACUUGCAUACCGAAGGUCAUGGCCAGAAGAAGUGGAUGCCAUCUGGCAGAGAUCUGUCAAUGGCAGCACACGUAAGAUAGCAAGAGUAAAGAAAGAGUGUAUGCACAG